AGUGAACGCUGGCGGUAGGCCUAACACAUGCAAGUCGAACGGCAGCACAGUAAUAGCUUGCUCUUACGGGUGGCGAGUGGCGGACGGGUGAGGAAUACAUCGGAAUCUACUUUUUCGUGGGGGAUAACGUAGGGAAACUUACGCUAAUACCGCAUCCGACCUACGGGUGAAAGCAUGGGAUCUUCUGACCUUGCGCGAUUGAAUGAGCCGAUGUCGGAUUAGCUAGUUGGCGGGGUAAAGGCCCACCCAGGCGACGAUCCGUAGCUGGUCUGAGAGGAUGAUCAGCCACACUGGAACUGAGACACGGUACAGACUCCUACGGGAGGCAGCAGUGGGGAAUAUUGGACAAUGGGCGCAAGACUGAUCCAGCCAUAACGCGUGGGUGAAGAAGGCCUUCGGGUUGUAAAGCCCUUUUGUUGGGAAAGAAAAGCAGCAGGUUAAUACCCCGCUGUGCUGACGGUACCCAAAGAAUAAGCACCGGCUAACUUCGU
rnacentral:rRNA from 1 species